rnacentral:rRNA from 1 species
GGAUUAGCGGCGGACGGGUGAGUAACACGUGAGUAACCUGCCUUAGACAUUGGGAUAGCCUCGGGAAACCGGGAUUAAUACCAAAUGAAAUCACAUAUGCACAUGCAUAAAUGAUCAAAGCUCCGGCGGUCUAAGAUGGACUCGCGUCCCAUUAGCUAGUUGGUGAGGUAACGGCCCACCAAGGCGACGAUGGGUAGCCGGCCUGAGAGGGUGAACGGCCACAUUGGGACUGAGACACGGCCCAAACUCCUACGGGAGGCAGCAGUGGGGAAUCUUCCGCAAUGGGCGCAAGCCUGACGGAGCAAUGCCGCGUGAGUGAAGAAGGCCUUCGGGUUGUAAAACUCUGUCCUCAUCCAAGAGAGGGGAAGGUAGUAACUGACCUUUCCAGGACGGUAGAUGAGGAGGAAGCCCCGGCUAACUAUGUGCCAGCAGCCGCGGUAAAACGUAUGGAGCGAGCGUUGUCCGGAAUUAUUGGGCGUAAAGGGUACGCAGGCGGUUUAAUAAGUCGAAUGUUAAAGAUCGGGGCUCAACCCCGUAAAGCAUUGGAAACUGAUAAACUUGAGUAGUGGAGAGGAAAGUGGAAUUCCUAGUGUAGUGGUGAAAUACGUAGAUAUUAGGAGGAAUACCAGUAGCGAAGGCGACUUUCUGGACACAAACUGACGCUGAGGUACGAAAGCGUGGGGAGCAGACAGGAUUAGAUACCCUGGUAGUCCACGCCGUAAACGAUGAAUGCUAGGUGUUGGGGGUCAAAC